rnacentral:tRNA from 1 species
UGGGGUGUAGCUCAAUUGGUGGAGCAGCGGACUGUUAAUCCGCAGGUUGGAGGUUCGAGACCUCCCGCCCCAGCCA